GUGCCAAAGUUAGAUGGCUCUAGUAAUGUGUGCAUAUUUUUAACAUAUCUAUCUAGGUCAAAAUCAUCCACUCCAAAAGGAUCUCAACAUGUAUGCACUGGAUCCUGAGAAAUUCUUUUAGGGUAGCUUCCUUUAUUGUAUCUUUUAGGAGUGAGCCAUAUGGUAGAAUUGGGUUGCUCUGAUUAUUUUUUUUAUUUAUUUAAAAGUAGAGGGAGAG
rnacentral:lncRNA from 1 species